GCAAGUCGAGCGAACAGACGAGGAGCUUGCUCCUCUGACGUUAGCGGCGGACGGGUGAGUAACACGUGGAUAACCUACCUAUAAGACUGGGAUAACUUCGGGAAACCGGAGCUAAUACCGGAUAAUAUAUUGAACCGCAUGGCUCAAUAGUGAAAGACGGUUUUGCUGUCACUUAUAGAUGGAUCCGCGCCGCAUUAGCUAGUUGGUAAGGUAACGGCUUACCAAGGCAACGAUGCGUAGCCGACCUGAGAGGGUGAUCGGCCACACUGGAACUGAGACACGGUCCAGACUCCUACGGGAGGCAGCAGUAGGGAAUCUUCCGCAAUGGGCGAAAGCCUGACGGAGCAACGCCGCGUGAGUGAUGAAGGUCUUCGGAUCGUAAAACUCUGUUAUUAGGGAAGAACAAAUGUGUAAGUAACUAUGCACGUCUUGACGGUACCUAAUCAGAAAGCCACGGCUAACUACGUGCCAGCAGCCGCGGUAAUACGUAGGUGGCAAGCGUUAUCCGGAAUUAUUGGGCGUAAAGCGCGCGUAGGCGGUUUUUUAAGUCUGAUGUGAAAGCCCACGGCUCAACCGUGGAGGGUCAUUGGAAACUGGAAAACUUGAGUGCAGAAGAGGAAAGUGGAAUUCCAUGUGUAGCGGUGAAAUGCGCAGAGAUAUGGAGGAACACCAGUGGCGAAGGCGACUUUCUGGUCUGUAACUGACGCUGAUGUGCGAAAGCGUGGGGAUCAAAC
rnacentral:rRNA from 1 species